UACGAAGGGGGCGAGCGUUGUUCGGAAUUACUGGGCGUAAAGGGCGCGCAGGCGGCUCUGAAAGUCAGAUGUGAAAGCCCCGGGCUUAACCUGGGAACUGCAUUUGGAUACUCUGGAGCUUGAGUACGGGAGAGGAGAGUGGAAUUCCCAGUGUAGAGGUGAAAUUCGUAGAUAUUGGGAAGAACACCGGUGGCGAAGGCGGCUCUCUGGACCGUAACUGACGCUGAGGCGCGAAGCGUGGGGAGCAAACAGG
rnacentral:rRNA from 1 species